rnacentral:rRNA from 1 species
AACGAACGCUGGCGGCAUGCCUAACACAUGCAAGUCGAACGAAGCCUUCGGGCUUAGUGGCGCACGGGUGCGUAACGCGUGGGAAUCUGCCCUUGGGUUCGGAACAACAGUUAGAAAUGACUGCUAAUACCGAAUGAUGUCUUCGGACCAAAGAUUUAUCGCCCAAGGAUGAGCCCGCGUCGGAUUAGCUAGUUGGUGAGGUAAAGGCUCACCAAGGCGACGAUCCGUAGCUGGUCUGAGAGGAUGAUCAGCCACACUGGGACUGAGACACGGCCCAGACUCCUACGGGAGGCAGCAGUGGGGAAUAUUGGACAAUGGGCGAAAGCCUGAUCCAGCAAUGCCGCGUGAGUGAUGAAGGCCUUAGGGUUGUAAAGCUCUUUUACCCGGGAUGAUAAUGACAGUACCGGGAGAAUAAGACCCGGCUAACUCCGUGCCAGCAGCCGCGGUAAU